UCUCUCUCUCUCGCUCUCUGUCUCUCUUUCUCUCUCUUUCUCUCUCUUUCUCUCUGUCUCUCUCUCGUUCUCUCUCGCUCUCACUUUGAUGUGUAAGUAAGGAUGGAUUUUGUUCAGUGCUGUUUUGUGGACAGAAAUUCAUCCCAAAGUAUGAAUUUGUCCAAUCUGUAAAUAUAAUCUUGACGUGAGUUCAUUGAUACAUGUGUUACUUACUUUAAGUAAAGCAAUAUAUUUUUAUACAUUGUUUUAUUUUACUAUUGUAGAAGCGAUAGAAGAGGAUAUAUUACCAUUUUUUUCCCCCAUUAAUUUCCACCAUCUCCUAAAUUCACCCUUUGACCUAAUUGUCUGUAUCAUCUCUCACAGCAUUCAAUCCCUCAUGACUUACUAUUCUGACCCUGUUUUUACAUUUCAUUUAAAUGUGUUGUGUUUUCUAUUGCGUGUUCAGUUAAAAAAUAAUAAUAAUAAUACUCACAUUUUAAUGAGAUCAAUUGAACUUUCACCCCAAACUGAAGGUGCUGUCACGUUAAACCUGUAACCGAAAAAUAUUUUUAAAAACGCAACAUGCAACAAUUUCAAAGAUUUUACUGAGUUACAGUUCAUAUAAGGAAAUCAGUCAUUUGAAAUAAAUAAACGAGGCCCUGAUCUAUGGAUGUCACAUGACUGAGAAUACUGAUAUGCAUCUGGUCACAUGAUACCUUAAGAUAAAAUGGGCCUCGGGAUCUCGUCACUGUAUUCUUGUGCGUUCAAAUCGCCAUCGAUGAAUUGCAAUGGUUCGUUGUUCGUAGCUUAUGCCUGCCUGCCCAUACCAUAACCCCACUGGCACCAUGGGGCACUCUGUUCACAACGUUGGCAUCUGAAAACUGCUCACCCGGGGUUCGAUCCCAGGCUGUCACAACUGGCUGUGACCAGAGUCCCAUAGGGAAGCUCACAAUUGGCCCAGCAUCGUCCGGUUUAGGGGAGAGUUUGGCCGGGGGUGGCUUUACAUGGCUCACCGCGUUCUAGCGACACCUUGUGGCAUACUGGGUGCCUGCAGGCUGACCUCGGUCGUCAGUUGAACUGUGACACUUUCCUCUGACACAUUGGUGCGGCUGGCCUCCGGGUUCUGGAUCGCUGACCCUCCCCACGGCAUGGUUGAGCUAACGUAGGCUAAUGCGAUUAACAUGAGGUUGUAAGUAACAAGAACAUUUCCCAGGACAUAUACACAGAAAGCUUACAUUCUUGUUAAUCUAACUGCACUGUCCCCUUUACAGUAGCUAUUACAGUGAAGGAAUACCAUGCUAUUGUUUGAGGAGAGUGCACAAUUUUGAACAUGAAAAGUUAUUCAUAAACAAAUGAGGCACAGUCUUGCCACAAGAUUUUGAGCAGAAAUGCAAUGGUUCUUUGGAUCAGUCUAAAACUUUGCGCGUACACUGCUGCCAUCUAGUGGUCAAAAUCUAAAUUGCAGCUGGGCUGGAAUAAUACAUUAUGGCUUUUCUCUUGCAUUUCAAAGAGGGUGGUUUAUAAAAAUAAAUACAAAAGAUUGGUUGGCUUUUUAAAAAUUAUUAUCUUUUACCAGAUCUAUUGUGUUAUAUUCUCCUACAUUCCUUUCACAUUUCCACAAACUUCAAAGUAUUGCCUUUUAAAUGGUACAAAGAAUAUGCAUAUCCUUGCUUCAGGGCCUGAGCUACAGGCAGUUAGAUUUAGGUGAAAAUUGAAAACAAGGGUCGGAUCCCUUGUUUUUAAUUUUCAGCCUGGAAGGUGUUAAGAACCGUGGUUUGGCGGGUCAUGUUUCAGAGGACGCAUGACUCUGCCUUCGCCUCUCCUAAACCCAUCUUGGAGUUGCAGCGAUGAGACAAGAUUGAAAUUGGGGAGGAAAAGGGGGGUAAAAAUACAACAAGAACCGCUGGACGUAUCGUGUCAAAUGAUCUAGAACGAUGUUGCAACAGCUCUGGUGGAUAUUCCCGAGGUCGCCAUGCCAACUGCACUCUCCCUCAACUUGAGACAUCUGUUGUAUUGUGUUGUUGUGACAAAACUGCAAAAAAAAAUUAAGAGUGGACUUUUUUAUUGUCCCCAAGCACAAGGUGCACCUGUGUAAUGAUCGUGCUGUUUAUUAAUCAACUUCUUGAUAUGCCACACCUGUCAGGUGGAUGGGUAAUCCUGGCAAAGGAGAAAUGCUUCGUAACAGGAAUGUAAACAAAUUUGAGCACAUAAUUAGUUUUUUUUUUUUUUUGUGCGUGUGGAACAUUUUCUGGGAUGUUUUAUUUCAGCUCAUGAAACAUAAGACCAACACUUUACAUGUUGCGUUUUAAUAUUUUUGUUCAGUAUAAUAAUUCAUUAGUAGUUGAUGAAGGUGAACUGUAAUAUAGUCAGUCAGGAUGUUGUUGUACCCACUGUCAGAUAAGAUCAGAUGAUACCUUGUGGCCAUGACCUGUAAUUGCAAUUCUUUGCCUAUUUGAUUUUUUUCCCCCUUUUGCUGCAUUUACCCCCAACAACAAUAGUUGCGUCCCAAAUGCAGACAAUUAACUGUGUAGGCCUGCGUUUCCAAAACUAGGGGUCACGACCCCAUUGUAGGGUCUCCUGAUUUGAAAAAUGGGGUUACGAGAGAAAUUUAACAUCGGGUUUGGUUCAUAGAACCAGGGUUUACGACAGAUGCGGUUGUAAUAAACAGAGACGUUUCUGUUUUCUUCCUACAAGUGUGGCUCUAUCUUAUGGACCGUUUUUAAGCUACAAAAUAUUAUGAGCCCGUCACUGAAAGAUAAGACUCUCAGGAAUAUGUCUUCUGUUUCCCUCCACAAGCCUCAUUAGAACAGAGUGGACAAGACCAGGCACUAAUCAGACUGGGGGGGGGGUCAAUGUUGUUGUGUUCUACACAGAAGAACAUGCAACGUGAUUGGCUAAUGAUCUUUUGACUUCCCACGAUACCUUUUUGGUAAAGCAUUUCAGUCAAUUCAAACCAAACUUUGUUCAGAUUGAAAUAGUGUCAAAAAGUACUUUCAGACUGAUUUGUACUAGACUGUCAUGGCCCAAAUUUAAAAGAAAUUAAUUUAAACAUAUAAAUGAUUUCUAUGAGUUCUGAUGCAGUGGUCUUAUAAGAGAAAGUGGUCAUGGGGAAACUAGCUAGAUGUCAAUACACAAGAGUGUACAAAACAUUAAGAACAACUUCCUAAUUUUGAGUUUCACUGGUCAGUCCAUGUCAUGGAAACAAACAGGCGUUGAUCAUGUUCUGUAUAGUCGGUGUAUAUGUGUUGGGUUGUUUUUUUUCUUCGUUUAGAGGGGUUUUUCAGGAAGAGCACUUGGUUGGGUUGUGGGGGGGGGGAUUUUAUUCUCAUGUUGAUUUGACUUGGAAUUUGACCGAUAGGCUAUUUAUGACUUUCCUGUGCGAAUGAUGUGAUUUAAGUUCAAGCGUUGGUUCAUUAUUUCACCCGUUUGUCCUCAUUUUAGCUGCUGUUGUGAUAUUUACAGUGCAUCAGACUUUUUUAGCAGUGCUAGUGUUUUUUUUUAGAAAGGUCUGACGACUGCCACAUUUGCUUGAUGGUCAGUUCUCGUUAAAUUAUUCAUUAUCUUUAGUCAUACAGUAUAUGUAGUUUUUGUUUUGUUUUUCUAGACCAAAGUGCAAUUUUAAUGACAUUUUGUAACAUUUUUGUUUGUUGUAUUUCCUAGUAGGCCAAU
ensembl:lncRNA